UGUUUGGUGCGAUGGUGUGGUAAAUAAUAAUAGAGUUUUCGUGAGUUGAGAGUUUGAUGGCUUGGCUGUUGUUUUCUCCUUAAUUUGCUGAAGCCUUCUGUAAUUUUUUUCUUCUUUUUCUUGUAAAGAAUCGGACCGGGAGUGCUGGUUCAUGUUCACCUUGGCCUCUUGAUAAGAUCAGAUGACUCAGACGUAGAACUUGGAUCCGGUUAGAUGUUUGUAAUGGACGUGUCUUUGAAGUGGAGACUAGGUCUCCUUGCCAAAUUUAACUUUGGUAUUGUCUUCAAUGUUAAGUAUAUUUUUUCAACAUUGUUAAACUGAAAUUUUCACUUUUACUUCCCCCUUUGCAAUGUGGUGAAUGAAUGAUACAUUGUGCUUGCAUGAAAUACAUGGUAUAUAUUUUAUGUAUUUUAAAACAUUGUCCCACUUGCUACCUCGUACGAUAGUUACAGCUGGGGCUGUCUCUUUGUUCACAAGCCUUAUUCUAUGAGGCCCCAUAGACAAGUUGCAUGAUGGAAAUGAAGAACUGUUUCAUUCACCCAAAAUUUUGGUUAAAAGAGAGUUAACUUUUGUUAACCCAAAGAAUGAUCAACCCUACCCUAGGAGACUGUAAUCUCUUUCCCUGAAGGAAGCAUCCGCGCGUAUCUGUGGAACAUUAAUAAAUCAAGAGAAACAAGGCUACUUGACAGCAUGGAUAUGAGAGUAAUAGAUUUAUUGUUACUAAUAUGAAUGUAACUGUUCUGUGAAAGCUUUAUGCAGGGUGUCUCAAAUAAGACCCAAGAAUUAAUGAGAGCUGUAGAGCUAGAACAAGUGAGGUCAGUUGCACCAGUACUGCCUCAGUCAAUUCUACCUCCUCAACCUCAAUCAACUCUUCCAUCUCCACCUCAAUAACAAUACUUCCUCCUUUAAGAAGCACUACAGGUAGCAAAUCUUGCACCAUCCAUCCAUGGCUAAAUUAAUCAAUGAGAAGAUGAGCGAUGACGUGGAUUUCUAGCAGAUGGUGUGACGUGGUAUCCAGAUCUAAACUGAAGCUUGAGGAGUAUGACUACGUUGCAAUAAUCAUUAAUAAUUCCCACCACACCAUUAGAUAUAGUCUACUUGGCAUCAUGACCUUCCUUGAGUUAUUGAAAGUGCCUCUAUUAUCCAAGCCUCCAUGAAAGAAAACGGCCUUCUCACGCCUUAGAGGUGUAACCUAUGAUGAUCAUUGAGCUGGCACAUCAAACCACUAAAGAGGACAUAAUCUUUGAACCCACCAUGCCUAUCCAACCUUCUCUAGUAGUGAAGUUUGCACAUCAUUCACUAGAUUCAACCCCAAGAUCAUUCAGCUUCAUGUCAAGAGUUUUAUAAUUUUCCUCAUCAUCAUUCGGAGAUGCAAGGCCUGAACAACUCAGAUCUUAAUUACGAGAGGUCACACUCAGAUCACGGUUUUGAUGAGGCCCCCUUCUCCUAUAUCUGCUUAAUAAACCAAGAACCGGCUCCAAGGAAGGGGCGAUCUUUGGGAGAUAAUUUCUCCGACUCUUUCCUCAUUUCUAGCAUGAUAGAAGACUAUCCCUAAACUCAGAAAAAAAAAAUAAAGAAAGAAAAAUCAGAAAUCCUAAAAAUAUUGGAUACUAGUUCUUAUUUAGAACGCCAUUUUCUUCCUUCCAAUUUUGAACUCAUAGCGUGCCAUGAAGAGGGAACCACCUGCUGUUUAGCCAAAAAAAAAAAGAGGAGGGAACCAUGCACCUGCUUUAAAAGUUCAUCCUGAACCAUCCAUUUUCGGGGGCCUCGAGGCUUGUCUUGAAGCCUCUUCAUUUCUUGACAGUUUUGAGCUACUGUCCUACCUUAUGUUGCCAUAAGAACGGUUUAAAACAAAGUUGGACAAGGAUGGGAGAAGGAACUGUGCCCAAAUAAAAUAGACAAAUAAUCUAAUUAUUAGGUCCUCUCAUUAAGAUACUCAAAUAACCAAUAAUUAGGCUCUGCACUUCCAUACCCCAUCCUUCUGGUCUAAAAUAUUGGAUCUUGGUUGCUUGCUACGGACAAAGAUAAUUGGAGAUUAAUUGGGUGCCUUAUCUAUCUUGCCGUCACUUGUGCUAAUUUGUCAUUUGCCUCCCUCGGCAUCUAAAGCAAACAUGAAGGCAUCCUUCUUUUUUCCUUUAAUGCCACAAGGUUCCAUGCAUGCAUCUGGUGAUUCAGAUUGAGCAAGCUAUGGUGAUUCAUAAUGUUCCAUCACUGGUUAUUAUGUCAUGCUUGCUGCUUCACCAUUCUCUUCAAAAUUCGAAAAACAAGGCAUUAGCUCUUGCUUUUUAACUGAAGCAGAAUAUUCUGCACCCAAGAAGCACCUGUUACGAAUUAACUUGGCUGAAUUACUUUGAAAGAUUAAUUAGGUCCGCAACCUACUGUUCUCAAUUUCAAUUUUUGAUUGGCAAGUCGCCAAGUUGAGGGAAACUAUUGGAGACAUGAUUACUCACUAUAGACUAAUUAACUUUUCUAACUUGUGGGAACUGGCUGUCUAUAAAUUUUUCUAUUUGAGAAGUUAUGGUUCGUUUUUGGAGGACAUACGGUUUGUAAUUAUGAACUAAUGGACUCAUCUAGUGGUGAGAUCUGCUGCCUGUUUAUUUUUCUAUUUUCUUAUUUUAUUUAUUUAAUAAUUAAUCUGUAUGUAAUCCAAAACUUGGGCUAGACAAAUGAUGUUUGUAAUUGAUAUUCACAUAUUAAAGAGUACGGACGGUGGGCGAGGGGGGGAAUGUUUUGGACCGCCCUCCGGACUCGACAUCGGUCAUGUCUAUUUAAUUUUUUAUUUUACUUUUCAGUCCUCCAUGUCCUAUCCCUGUCUUUAAAGGGACCAUGAAGACACGUAGAAUACGAAGGAAGAAAAAAGAUGGCAGCUCCAUCCGGCCAAACGUCGCUGCCGCUGAAAGGACGAGUGGCGAUCGUGACCGGCGGCGCCGGCGGCAUUGGCUCCGCCGUCUCCAAACACCUCGCCUCCCUCGGCGCCCACGUAGUCAUCGGCUACAUCGGCGAUCCGACCCCGGCCGAAACCCUGGCCUCUGCUAUCAACGCCACCACCGGUGCAACCUCCGGUCCCCCGCGGGCCAUCGCGGUCGCCGCCGACGUUUCCAAUGCAGCCCAAGUCAAGUCAUUGUUCGACGCUGCCGUGCAUGUCUUCGGCCCCGACCUUCACGUCCUCGUCACCGCCGCGGCCGUACUCGACGCCGACUACCCAUCGAUCGCCGAGACCAGCGAGGAAAAGUUCGACUGGUUGUUCGGCACCAACUGCAAGGGCACAUUCCUCUGCUGCCGGGAGGCGGCGAACCGGCUGGUGCGUGGCGGCGGCGGGCGGAUCAUCACGUUCUCGUCGUCGGGAGUGGGAUUGCUGCGGCCGGGCUACGGGGCCUACUUAGGUGCCAAGGGUGCCGUAGAAGUGAUGACGAAGAUUCUGGCGAAGGAGCUCCGGGGGACGGGGAUCACGGCGAACGCGGUGGCCCCUGGGUCGAUAGCGACGCCGAUGUUCUACGUAGGGAAGUCGGAGGAGGAUGCGAGGAAAUACAUGGGGGAGAUACCGAUGGGCCGGCUGGGGCUGCCGGAGGACGUUGCUCCGGUGGUGGGGUUCUUGGCCAGCGACGCCGGAGAGUGGGUGAACGCCCAGGUCGUCCGUGUGAAUGGUGGCAACGUCUGAGUCUGAUAGCCGCUGAUCAUGAGUUGCAGCAGGUUAGAAAGUUGUUAUGGUGCGAUGAUGUGGUAAAUAAUAAUACAGUUUUGGCGAGUUGGGAGUUUGAUGGCUUGGCUGUUAUUUUCUCCUUAAUUUGCUGAAACCUUCUGUAGUUUUUUCCUUCUUUCUCUUGUAAUGAAUCGGACCGGGAGUGCUGGUUCACGUUUACCUUGGCCUCUUGAUAAGAUCAGAUGACUCAGACGUAGAACUUGG
rnacentral:lncRNA from 1 species